rnacentral:tRNA from 1 species
GGAAAUGCAGCUUAUUGGUAGAGUGCAUGCUUAGCAUGCAUGAAGCCCUGGGUUCAAUUCCUCAGUGCCA